AUUCAAACUUUUUUACAGACAUUCGUGAAGCAGUGAAGCCUCCGUGGGAGGAUCACCAAUCCUUGGACCACUUCAGGAACAUCGUUCAUCAUGGGAGAUCAUCUUCGUCAACAAAGAUGGACUACUUCUAACGGACAUUCGAGAAGCAGUGAGACCUCCGUGGGAGGAUCACCAAUCCAUGGACCACUUCAGGAACAUCGUUCAUCGUGAGAGACCAUCAUCGUCAACGAGAGACCAUUUCUAACGGACAUUCGAGAAGCAGUGAGACCUCCGUGGGAGGAUCACCAAUCCAUGGACCACUUCAGGAACAUCGUUCAUCGUGGGAGAUCACCAUCGUCAACGAGGGACCAUUUCUAACGGACAUUCGAGAAGCAGUGAGACCUCCGUGGGAGGAUCACCAAUCCAUGGACCACUUCAGGAACAUCGUUCAUCGUGGGAGAUCACCAUCGUCAACGAGGGACCAUUUCUAACGGGUGCGAAUAGCUCCCAACGGUAAGAGCCAUCUACCAACGGC